rnacentral:rRNA from 1 species
AUUGAACGCUAGCGGCAGGCCUAACACAUGCAAGUCGAGCGAGCGGCGGACGGGUGAGUAAUGUCUGGGGCCUGCCCGAUAGAGGGGGAUAACUACUGGAAACGGUGGCUAAUACCGCAUCCUAUCGAAUAACCCUUCUGGGAUUAGCUAGUAGGUGGGGUAAAGGCUCACCUAGGCGACGAUCUCUAGCUGGUCUGAGAGGAGGAUCAGAAACACUGGGACGGAGACACGGCCCAGCAUCCUACGGAGGCAGCAGUGGGGAAUAUUGCACAAUGUGCGCAAGCAUGAUGCAGCCAUGCCGCGUGUAUGAAGAAGGCCUUAGGGUUGUAAAGUACGUUCAGCGGCGAGGCGUUACCCGAAGAAGAAGCACCGGCUAACUCCGUGCCAGCAGCCGCGGUAAUAC